rnacentral:rRNA from 1 species
AUGGACUCUAGGCCUCUCAGCGCGUCAAAGAUCGAGCUUAGACGUAGGUUGAAGAGAAAGCUCCUUGGGCUUUCGUUGCUGGAACGAACGAUUGCGAGACAGAAAUCACGUCUUCUUCACAUCAAAGAUGGAGAUGCCAAUACCAGAUUCUUUCACCAACAUGCGCGACAUCGACAGAGAAAGAAUGUGUUGCUGUCUUUGGCGCACAACAACGAGCACAUUACUGGCCAAUAG